rnacentral:rRNA from 1 species
ACGAACGCUGGCGGCCAGGCUUACACGAUGCUUUAUCGAGCGCCCCGCAAGGGGACGCGGCAGACGGGUGAGUAACGCGUGGGAAUCUACCAUUUGCUACGGAACAACAGAUUGGAAACGACUGCUAAUACCUGUAUGUGCCCUAACGGGGAACAGAUUUAUCGCGCCAAUGAUGAGCCCGCGUUGGAUUAGCUAGUUGCGUGGCGGUAAAGGCCUACCAACGCGACGAUCCAUAGCUGGUCUGAGAGGAUGAUCAGCCACACUGGGACUGAGACACGGCCAGACUCCUACGGGAGGCAGCAGUGGGGAAUAUUGGACAAUGGGCGCAAGCCUGAUCCAGCCAUGCCGCGUGAGUGAUGAAGGCCCUAGGGUUGUAAAGCUCUUUCACCGGAUGAAGAUAAUGACGGUAACCGGAGAAGAAGCCCCGGCUAACUUCGUGCCAGCAGCCGCGGUAAUACGAAGGGGGCUAGCGUUGUUCGGAUUUACUGGGCGUAAAGCGCACGUAGGCGGACUAAUAAGUCAGGGGUGAAAUCCCGGGGCUCAACCCGGAACUGCUUGAUACUGUUAGUCUUGAGUAUGGAAGAGGUGAGUGGAAUUCCG